rnacentral:rRNA from 1 species
UACAGAGGGGGCAAGCGUUGUUCGGAAUUACUGGGCGUAAAGGGCGCGUAGGCGGCCUGUUAAGUCGAACGUGAAAUCCCCGGGCUCAACCCGGGAACUGCGUCCGAUACUGGCAGACUUGAAUCCGGGAGAGGGAUGCGGAAUUCCAGGUGUAGCGGUGAAAUGCGUAGAUAUCUGGAGGAACACCGGUGGCGAAGGCGGCAUCCUGGACCGGUAUUGACGCUGAGGCGCGAAAGCCAGGGGAGCAAACGGG